GGCCCUUUGGGGGCGGCGAGGGUGACCCGGCUGGCGGACCAAGGGUGCGCAGCGGGCAGCGGGGUGCUUCGAGGCGGCUGUCCCGAGCACCCGGGGGCGGGAAGCAUCGUUUGUCCCCUGCAGCGCCCCGGGCAGGGCCUCGGGGACUUCCCGAGGGAGAUGCCAGGGCCUGGCGAAGGUCACCCGGCUAGGCCCCUGGUUGGAUCCUGGCCUCGGAGUGCUCUGCCCACAUCCUGGCUUGGAGCUGGGGUGGGGUUGAGGGUGCAGCUAAUCCGAAGGUGCCUUUCGCGGGGUCUCGGAUUUUCCUUUCACGGGACGCCCCCUCCCAGGAUGCAGCUGUUUCUGGGCCUGCAGAACCUCAAUGGGAAGAAAACGGACCUAAGACUCCUUUUAGUUAGAAGGACCCCCGCCCCUGCCACCAGGCCACACAACUGAGUCAUCUUUAAACACUGUCCUUGGUCCUAGCCAAUUGCAAAUUCUGCCAGCAAACAAGAGAGGCAAGAGGAAUUUCAAAGCAGGCCAAGCAAUGACAAGUUAGAAAUGGGGUAAGGUAUCUCAGGUAAGAUAUAGGCCUCACUAUAUAUAUUAUGUAGGUACCUGCGUUAACCCACUAGAUGUACCGUUGGGAAAGUUCUCUCUUAAUGGAAUUUCAAAAAUUAAUUUUUUUCAAGCAAUUUCAAGUAAAUCGUUUUGUGUUGCAAAAUACGUGCCCCCCCCCCGUGUAUUUUUUUAAAGUAGCAGAAACCUAGUGCCUCAUGACUUAGUAAAUUUCCUAACCACAGAUCACCUUGGGCACUAGAGGCUCUGUCUUCUACGGUGGCCAUUUCCUUGAUGUCCUAUGGUGUAUAUUUUGUUGACCCUGAUGCUUCCUACCUGGCUUCUCCAGUAUCAUACACAGGAUGUCCAUAAGAAGAUCGUGAUUGCCUGGAAUGAUAAACUGUUUAUAAGAGUCAGCAAAUUUAGGAGGUGCUCAAUCCAUUUUCAGAGGCAUCUUCCUAAGAAUGUUUAAUUCAUAUGCAAAUGGCUACCAAGAUCCCCCAAGCCCAAGCUUGAGGGCAAGAGGAUCUGAGAAUCCAGGUGUUGUAGUCCCGGCUUCACUGUCUUUGCGCUCCCUGCCUAGGAGAUUGCUGCCCCUCUGUGAUCUCGCUUUUUUAGGGUGGGCGAAAGUGAGGACCUGGGCAAUGGCAUAUCCAGUUGGAGAUCGCUGAACUUGUGUUGGUGUGUCUUGUUCUAUUAUCGGAAUUCUCAAGCAGAGGUAACAGCACCAGAUGUGGGUUAUUUUCUAAGAUGUAUGACUUUAUGUGAUAUGUCCCCAUAGAUGACUCCCAAAUUCAGUUUUAACCCUGAUGUCCCUUGAGCUUCAGCAGUAUGAAAAGAUGCUUUCCUGCCAUCACCUCAAGGUCCCUAGAGCUAAACUCAUUCUUUUCACCUUUAUUCUACAUUCAACUGUGUGAAACAAUAAGGAAAAUGUAUUGUCUCAUGUUAACAAGAAAUUCAGGGGUACGUCAGCGCUGAGUUUCGUUUAACAGCUCAGUAACCUUAUCGGGGACCCAGAUUCUUUCCGUUUUUUGAGUCCGACUGCCUUAGGCCUGUGCCUCUCCCAGUGACACAAUGACGGCCACAAUUCCAGAUGACACAUGCCUACACACAAUGUCCAGGGAAAGGAGAGAGACUGUUUCUUCCCAGGUGCUUCAUUUUAUUAGCAAGGAAACCUGUCUUGGAAAACCUCAAGCAGGCUGCUCCCACCCUCCCGCAUCGAAACCAUUCCCUAGCGUGGAGUGAGAAACCGUCAUGAGUGGCUUUAAUGAAUCACGAUCUACCUCCUAUGGAUGGGAACUGGGAUCCCAGCACGUCCACCAAGCACUGAUGCUGAUAGAGGUCCGUGUAUCCGUCAGGACGAGCCAGGGCAGGCAGUGGUAACAAGCGAUCCCAAAACGACGUACAACACAGCUUUAUUUCUGGAGACACUAUGCAUGUGUUUUCGGUUGGCCUCCUUCCAGGACCCAGGCUGAGCUCUCGUCGUCUUGAGCAGAACAAGUUCGACUGGCCGAGUCUGAUGUCGCCAGGGUAGAGAACUUUGAUCCUCUCCUGCCAAGGGCAACACACAUCUGUGAAAAACGGUGACCCACAACAUAGCCUGUUAUACUCAAGGAUGAGCAACAGCCAAACCUACUCUGCUAGUCACCUCUGCUCUCUUUAGGGUUCCCAGGGGAACUGUAUACGAGCAAGAAAUUGGAAUAGAAACCAAAGGAUCGUUUGAUUCAUAGAUGAGCUAGCACCCAAUAAUCUCUAGAACCAGACUCUGACAAAAGACUGAAUCACAUGGCCUAGGUUUAAUGCCUCCACCCUGCUCUGCCACCACCCCCUCAAGUUCGGGACGGUCACGCCUAGGCAUGCCUGCAGAGAAAGGGGAGGUGACCCGAUCUGCAAAUGGACGAGCUUUACUCAUCCAGCUGUGGGCCAGAGGGAGACUGGGCUGGUCCUACCUGGAGCACGAGCAGCCCUCCUGACCUUUGCACACAGAGCGACCCCAGCCACUGGUAAAAUGUGGGCUGUUAGUGUCCUGGGCUCUGAUCAAUCAGAUUAAUGAUCCCUCUUCCUUCUGAGUAAAGGUAGCCAGUCAGAGAACAAGACAGAAGAAAACGGAAUUCCUUCCUAUCUUCUCCUUUGUUCUUUCUUAAUCCAUUAGUAAGGAGUAGAGAAGUCCCCUACCAAGGAAAUGAGUACCCAUUGUCUCUUUGCCUCCUCAUCUAGACCGUAAGCCCCUCAAGUACACUGGCCAAUGCAUCGUGCAUCACCCUUUCCGCAUGUGCUAGAUACUCAGGUAUCUGUUGAUGAAGUCAGGACUGUCACGUAAGAGACAUCCCUGCACUUUCAGUCGACAAAACUGUGGUCAAUUACAGAUACACUGGAUUUGUGUAACCUGGGAUUCUGGAGCCCUAGUUCUUGUCUUAUUUCCCGCCUUUAUAUGGGCACAAAAGGGUACUGACAUGUGGGUCUAGACAGUGGAAAGAAAGUGAAAGUCUUAAUAAAUGUUACAUGUGACCCCAAACAGAUUGAUAUGCCAAGGUAGAAGAUCAAGAGUCAAUUGACCUCAAUAAACUAGGGAAGUGGCCAUCAAUAGCAGAUUAAAAUGCACUAGAAUAAAUGGAAGGCUGUGUAUUUAAGGAGCAAAAGAAGCAUUACACACAUAUAGACUCAAGAGUGAAAAACUGGCCAUGCAGAAACAUGGCCAAGAGUGAUCUGACAGAUGUGGCAAACCAAUAACAGAAUGAGUAGGAAAAUGGCAGGAUGUAUGAACAGAAGUCUGUGACACCAAAUUCAUCCUUCUAGCUCUGGGGCCUGGCACAGUGCCUGGCACA